AUUGAACGCUGGCGGCAGGCCUAACACAUGCAAGUCGAACGAGUGGCGGACGGGUGAGUAAUGUCUGGGAAACAGCCAGAUGGAGGGGGAUAACUACUGGAAACGGUAGCUAAUACCGCAUACCAUCGGAUGAGCCCAGAUGGGAGUAGCGAGUAGGUGGGGUAACGGCUCACCGAGGCGACGAUCCCUAGCUGGUCUGAGAGGAUGACCAGCCACACUGGAACGGUGAAGCGGGCCAUACUCGUACGUGAGGCAGCAGUGGGGAAUAUUGCACAAUGGGCGCGAGUCUGAUGCAGCAAUGCCGCGUGAAUGAAGAAGGCCUGCGGGUUGUAAAGUACUUUCAGCGAGGAGGCGUUACUCGCAGAAGAAGCACCGGCGAACUCCGUGCCAGCAGCCGCGGUAAUUC
rnacentral:rRNA from 1 species